AUGCUGGAUGGCAACAUUUGUGCGAAAGCUGAUGUUGCUAAGAUGAGCUCCAAUAUUCGCCUGUCCCGUAUUCAGUAUAGCACUACAGCAUUUAGUCAUCGUUUCCAAAAGACGAGUAUUCGUGGCAACAACAAUGUUUUAGGUGGGAAGAACAUAUUGUUGUGGUUCAUGAUGCAUUCAUCUACGCUGAUGCCAGGUCUUGCCAUUGCCGGGUACCUUGUCAGCAAAAGACAUCUUGAGAGAGUGCAAAAGAGAAUCGACCAUAUUUUCCUAGAAAGAAAAAUGACCAGUGUUUUCCGCCCCUGUUUAUUUUUGUACACCAUCAAAAGAGGAAACGGCUGCACUGUCCCUUUUUCUCUACGUGGCUCGGUUCACUGCUGA
rnacentral:rRNA from 1 species